rnacentral:rRNA from 1 species
CAUGCAAGUCGAGGGGUAACAUAAAGUGCUUGCACUUUGAUGACGACCGGCGCACGGGUGAGUAACGCGUAUACAAUCUGCCUCAUACUAGGGGAUAGCCCAGAGAAAUUUGGAUUAAUACCCUAUAGUAUCAUUUAGAGUCAUCUCUUUAUGAUUAAAGGUUACGGUAUGAGAUGAGUAUGCGUUCUAUUAGUUAGUAGGUGAGGUAACGGCUCACCUAGACCACGAUAGAUAGGGGCCCUGAGAGGGGGAUCCCCCACACUGGUACUGAGACACGGACCAGACUCCUACGGGAGGCAGCAGUGAGGAAUAUUAGACAAUGGGCGAAAGCCUGAUCUAGCCAUGCCGCGUGCAGGAUGACGGCCCUAUGGGUUGUAAACUGCUUUUAUACAGGAAGAAAAAACUCUACGUGUAGAGUCUUGACGGUACUGUAAGAAUAAGGAUCGGCUAACUCCGUGCCAGCAGCCGCGGUAAUACGGAGGAUCCAAGCGUUAUCCGGAAUUAUUGGGUUUAAAGGGUCCGUAGGUGGACAAUUAAGUCAGAGGUGAAAUCCUGCAGCUCAACUGUAGAAUUGCCUUUGAAACUGGUUGUCUUGAGUCAUUAUGAAGUGGUUAGAAUGUGUAGUGUAGCGGUGAAAUGCAUAGAUAUUACACAGAAUACCAAUUGCGAAGGCAGAUCACUAAUAAUGUACUGACACUGAUGGACGAAAGCGUGGGUAGCGAACAGGAUUAGAUACCCUGGUAGUCCACGCCGUAAACGAUGGUCACUAGCUGUUUGGACUUCGGUCUGAGUGGCUAAGCGAAAGUGAUAAGUGACCCACCUGGGG